rnacentral:rRNA from 1 species
GGGGAAUCUUAGACAAUGGGGGCAACCCUGAUCUAGCCAUGCCGCGUGAGUGAUGAAGGCCUUAGGGUCGUAAAGCUCUUUCGCUGGGGAAGAUAAUGACGGUACCCAGUAAAGAAACCCCGGCUAACUCCGUGCCAGCAGCCGCGGUAAUACGGAGGGGGUUAGCGUUGUUCGGAAUUACUGGGCGUAAAGCGCGCGUAGGCGGAUCGGAAAGUUGGGGGUGAAAUCCCGGGGCUCAACCCCGGAAUUGCCUUCAAAACUCCCGGUCUUGAGGUCGAGAGAGGUGAGUGGAAUUCCGAGUGUAGAGGUGAAAUUCGUAGAUAUUCGGAGGAACACCAGUGGCGAAGGCGGCUCACUGGCUCGAUACUGACGCUGAGGUGCGAAAGCGUGGGGAGCAAAC